CUAAAUCCAACCUAAGCAAAAGUCCAAUUUAUUUCGGGCUAUAAAUAAAAUCCAAAAUUCACAAAUAAAAUCCCAAAACCCAAGGUCCACAAAUAAAAUCCAAAACCCAAAGUCCACAAGUAAAAACUCAAAACAUAAAGUCCACAAAUAAAACCCAAAAUUCAAAGUCCACAAAUAAAACCCACAAUUGCAAAGUCGCUAAACUAACCCAUCAAAUGAAACGACUGUAAAGUCGCUAAACUAAACAACCAAACGACCGCAAAGUUGCUAAACUAAACAACCAAUCCAAACAACCACAAAGUCGUUAAACUAAACUAAACCCAAAUUCAUACGACCAUAAAGUCGUUAAACUAACAUGACCGCAAAGUCGCUAAACUAAACAAUCCAAACUCAAACCGACUGCCAUGUCGUUAAACUGAGCAACUCAACUCAAACUGACUGUCAUGUCAUUAAAUUGAGCAACUCAGCUCAAACUAACCGCUAUAUCCUUAAAUUGAGUAACUCAACUCAAACCAAUCGCUAUAUCGUUAAACUGAACAACUAAACUUCAAUCCGACCGCCAUUUUGUUAAACUGAGUGCCUCAGCCUAAAGCCGACCGUCAUGUCGUUAAACUGAGUGCCUCAGCUUAAAGCCGACCACUAUGUCGUUAAACUGAGCGCCUCAACUCCAAGCCUACCGUCAUGUCGUUAAACUGAGCACCUCAACUUCAAGUCGACUGUCAUGUCAUUAAAUUGAGUACCUCAACCUAAAGCCGACCGUCAUGUCGUUAAACUGAGCACCUCAACCUCAAGCCGGCUAUUAUGUCGUUAAACUAGGCAUCUCAACUUCAAAUCACUAAGUCGCUAAACUGAGCAAAUUAAAUUUAGACUCAACCCAAUCUGACCGUCAAGUCGUUAAACUGAGAAAAUCAAGUUUAAAUCAUUUAACCGCCAAAUCACU
rnacentral:lncRNA from 1 species